rnacentral:ncRNA from 1 species
ACAACAUUAGCGAUUGGGACAGUAGUCUAGGACCGAUAGUUGCAGCGAGCCGGGUUAGUGGAAGCCGGUACGGAUGUCUUAGAUGAAGCGGGCCCAUGAAAUGGUUUGCCGAAACGAACGAAGUUACUUAGUAGGCAAAUCCGGUCAAUGACCGUUACGAAAAUGAGGGGUCAAGCUGCUUAUCAGGCUUGGCACUUAGAGUGGUACCACGGGAUCUUUAUGGCUCUCGUCUCUUAU